UACGUAGGGUGCAAGCGUUAAUCGGAAUUACUGGGCGUAAAGCGUGCGCAGGCGGUUAUGUAAGUCUGAUGUGAAAUCCCCGGGCUCAACCUGGGAAUUGCAUUGGAGACUGCAAGGCUAGAAUCUGGCAGAGGGGGGUAGAAUUCCACGUGUAGCAGUGAAAUGCGUAGAGAUGUGGAGGAACACCGAUGGCGAAGGCAGCCCCCUGGGUCAAGAUUGACGCUCAUGCACGAAAGCGUGGGGAGCAAACAGG
rnacentral:rRNA from 1 species